rnacentral:sRNA from 1 species
CCCGCGAAGCCUUAAAACCACACAUGCAUCGACACGAUGGCCUGGGUGCCUUUCGACAAGAUCGAAGGGUUGGCCAUUGGGAUGCAUGGAGGCCCAAC